rnacentral:rRNA from 1 species
AACGAAUGCUGGCGGCAUGCCUAACACAUGCAAGUCGAACGAGACCUUCGGGUCUAGUGGCGCACGGGUGCGUAACGCGUGGGAACCUGCCCUUAGGUUCGGAAUAACUCCCCGAAAGGGGUGCUAAUACCGGAUAAUGUCUUCGGACCAAAGAUUUAUCGCCUUUGGAUGGGCCCGCGUUGGAUUAGCUAGUUGGUAGGGUAAAAGCCUACCAAGGCGACGAUCCAUAGCUGGUCUGAGAGGAUGAUCAGCCACACUGGGACUGAGACACGGCCCAGACUCCUACGGGAGGCAGCAGUGGGGAAUAUUGGACAAUGGGCGAAAGCCUGGUCCAGCAAUGCCGCGUGAGUGAUGAAGGCCUUAGGGUUGUAAAGCUCUUUUACCCGGGAUGAUAAUGACAGUACCGGGAGAAUAAGCUCCGGCUAACUCCGUG